rnacentral:rRNA from 1 species
CACGGGGGGAGCAAGCGUUGUUCGGAAUCACUGGGCGUAAAGGGUGUCUAGGCGGUCAGGUAAGUGAGAUGUGAAAUGCCCCGGCUUACCCGGGGACCUGCAUCUCAUACUGCCUGGCUUGAGUAUGGGAGAGGAUGAGGGAAUUCCUGGUGUAGCGGUGAAAUGCGUAGAUAUUCGCAAGAACACCAGUGGCGAAGGCGGCUCACUGGCCCGGUACUGACGCUGAGGUGCGAAAGCGUGGGGAGCAAACAGG